GACGAACGCUGGCGGCGUGCCUAAUACAUGCAAGUCGAACGCAGUGGGGACGGGUGAGUAACACGUGGGUAACCUCCCAUCAGAGGGGAUAACACUUGGCAACAGGUGCUAAACCGAUACUGAUGGAUGGACCCGCGGUGCAUUCGCUAGGUGGGGGGGGAACGGCUCACCAAGGCCACGAUGCAUAGCCGACCUGAGAGGGUGAGCGGCCACACUGGGACUGAGACACGGCCCAGACUCCUACGGGAGGCAGCAGUGGGGAAUAUUGCACAAUGGGCGCAAGCCUGAUGCAGCCAUGCCGCGUGUAUGAAGAAGGCCCUAGGGUUGUAAAGUACUUUCAGUCGGGAGGCGUUACCGACAGAAGAAGCACCGGCUAACUCCGUGCCAGCAGCCGCGGUAAUUC
rnacentral:rRNA from 1 species